rnacentral:rRNA from 1 species
UACGUAGGGUGCGAGCGUUAAUCGGAAUUACUGGGCGUAAAGCGUGCGCAGGCGGUUGUGCAAGACAGGUGUGAAAUCCCCGGGCUUAACCUGGGAACUGCGCUUGUGACUGCACGACUAGAGUACGGUAGAGGGGGGUGGAAUUCCUGGUGUAGCAGUGAAAUGCGUAGAGUAUCAGGAGGAACAUCGAUGGCGAACGGCAGCCCCCUGG